AUCGAACGCUGGCGGCAGGCCUAACACAUGCAAGUCGAACGGUAACAGGAAGAAGCUUGCUUCUUUGCUGACGAGUGGCGGACGGGUGAGUAAUGUCUGGGAAACUGCCUGAUGGAGGGGGAUAACUACUGGAAACGGUAGCUAAUACCGCAUAACGUCGCAAGACCAAAGAGGGGGACCUUCGGGCCUCUUGCCAUCGGAUGUGCCCAGAUGGGAUUAGCUAGUAGGUGGGGUAACGGCUCACCUAGGCGACGAUCCCUAGCUGGUCUGAGAGGAUGACCGGCCACACUGGAACUGAGACACGGUCCAGACUCCUACGGGAGGCAGCAGUGGGGAAUAUUGCACAAUGGGCGCAAGCCUGAUGCAGCCAUGCCGCGUGUAUGAAGAAGGCCUUCGGGUUGUAAAGUACUUUCAGCGGGGAGGAAGGGAGUAAAGUUAAUACCUUGGCUCAUUGACGUUACCCGCAGAAGAAGCACCGGCUAACUCCGUG
rnacentral:rRNA from 1 species